UGGUCCUACGGGGGGCAGCAGUAGGGAAUCUUCGGCAAUGGGGGCAACCCUGACCGAUCAACGCCGCGUGAGUGAAGAAGGUUUUCGGAUCGUAAAGCUCUGUUGUAAGAGAAGAACGUGUGUGAGAGUGGAAAGUUCACACUGUGACGGUAACUUACCAGAUAGGGACGGCUAACUACGUGCCGUCAGCCGCGGUAAUACGUAGGUCCCGAGCGUUAUCCGGCUUUAUUGGGCGUAAAGCGAGCGCAGGCGGCU
rnacentral:rRNA from 1 species